rnacentral:rRNA from 1 species
CCGCGGGAUUAGAGUUUGAUCCUGGCUCAGAUUGAACGCUGGCGGCAGGCUUAACACAUGCAAGUCGAGCGGGGAAAGGUAGCUUGCUACCUGACCUAGCGGCGGACGGGUGAGUAAUGCUUAGGAAUCUGCCUAUUAGUGGGGGACAACAUCUCGAAAGGGAUGCUAAUACCGCAUACGUCCUACGGGAGAAAGCAGGGGACCUUCGGGCCUUGCGCUAAUAGAUGAGCCUAAGUCGGAUUAGCUAGUUGGUGGGGUAAAGGCCUACCAAGGCGACGAUCUGUAGCGGGUCUGAGAGGAUGAUCCGCCACACUGGGACUGAGACACGGCCCAGACUCCUACGGGAGGCAGCAGUGGGGAAUAUUGGACAAUGGGGGGAACCCUGAUCCAGCCAUGCCGCGUGUGUGAAGAAGGCCUUUUGGUUGUAAAGCACUUUAAGCGAGGAGGAGGCUACCGAGAUUAAUACUCUUGGAUAGUGGACGUUACUCGCAGAAUAAGCACCGGCUAACUCUGUGCCAGCAGCCGCGGUAAUACAGAGGGUGCAAGCGUUAAUCGGAUUUACUGGGCGUAAAGCGCGCGUAGGUGGCCAAUUAAGUCAAAUGUGAAAUCCCCGAGCUUAACUUGGGAAUUGCAUUCGAUACUGGUUGGCUAGAGUAUGGGAGAGGAUGGUAGAAUUCCAGGUGUAGCGGUGAAAUGCGUAGAGAUCUGGAGGAAUACCGAUGGCGAAGGCAGCCAUCUGGCCUAAUACUGACACUGAGGUGCGAAAGCAUGGGGAGCAAACAGGAUUAGAUACCCUGGUAGUCCAUGCCGU